rnacentral:tRNA from 1 species
GCCUGGGUGGCUGUCUGUUAAGUGUCUGACUUUGGCUCAGGUUAUGAUCUCACUGUGUGGGUUCGAGCCCCACAUCGGGCU